rnacentral:rRNA from 1 species
AUGCAAGUCGAACGAACUCUGGUAUUGAUUGGUGCUUGCAUCAUGAUUUACAUUUGAGUGAGUGGCGAACUGGUGAGUAACACGUGGGAAACCUGCCCAGAAGCGGGGGAUAACACCUGGAAACAGAUGCUAAUACCGCAUAACAACUUGGACCGCAUGGUCCGAGCUUGAAAGAUGGCUUCGGCUAUCACUUUUGGAUGGUCCCGCGGCGUAUUAGCUAGAUGGUGGGGUAACGGCUCACCAUGGCAAUGAUACGUAGCCGACCUGAGAGGGUAAUCGGCCACAUUGGGACUGAGACACGGCCCAAACUCCUACGGGAGGCAGCAGUAGGGAAUCUUCCACAAUGGACGAAAGUCUGAUGGAGCAACGCCGCGUGAGUGAAGAAGGGUUUCGGCUCGUAAAACUCUGUUGUUAAAGAAGAACAUAUCUGAGAGUAACUGUUCAGGUAUUGACGGUAUUUAACCAGAAAGCCACGGCUAACUACGUGCCAGCAGCCGCGGUAAUACGUAGGUGGCAAGCGUUGUCCGGAUUUAUUGGGCGUAAAGCGAGCGCAGGCGGUUUUUUAAGUCUGAUGUGAAAGCCUUCGGCUCAACCGAAGAAGUGCAUCGGAAACUGGGAAACUUGAGUGCAGAAGAGGACAGUGGAACUCCAUGUGUAGCGGUGAAAUGCGUAGAUAUAUGGAAGAACACCAGUGGCGAAGGCGGCUGUCUGGUCUGUAACUGACGCUGAGGCUCGAAAGUAUGGGUAGCAAACAGGAUUAGAUACCCUGGUAGUCCAUACCGUAAACGAUGAAUGCUAAGUGUUGGAGGGUUUCCGCCCUUCAGUGCUGCAGCUAACGCAUUAAGCAUUCCGCCUGGGGAGUACGGCCGCAAGGCUGAAACUCAAAGGAAUUGACGGGGGCCCGCACAAGCGGUGGAGCAUGUGGUUUAAUUCGAAGCUACGCGAAGAACCUUACCAGGUCUUGACAUACUAUGCAAAUCUAAGAGAUUAGACGUUCCCUUCGGGGACAUGGAUACAGGUGGUGCAUGGUUGUCGUCAGCUCGUGUCGUGAGAUGUUGGGUUAAGUCCCGCAACGAGCGCAACCCUUAUUAUCAGUUGCCAGCAUUAAGUUGGGCACUCUGGUGAGACUGCCGGUGACAAACCGGAGGAAGGUGGGGAUGACGUCAAAUCAUCAUGCCCCUUAUGACCUGGGCUACACACGUGCUACAAUGGAUGGUACAACGAGUUGCGAACUCGCGAGAGUAAGCUAAUCUCUUAAAGCCAUUCUCAGUUCGGAUUGUAGGCUGCAACUCGCCUACAUGAAGUCGGAAUCGCUAGUAAUCGCGGAUCAGCAUGCCGCGGUGAAUACGUUCCCGGGCCUUGUACACACCGCCCGUCACACCAUGAGAGUUUGUAACACCCAAAGUCGGUGGGGUAACCUUUUAGGAACCAGCCGCCUAAG